AACCUAUGAUGAGGACAUUUCCUUAGUAAUUCCUUGUAUCUAUCCCAUGCCUCAUAUAAAGUCUUGCCUUGGUAUUGUGAAAAAUUGUUGAUUUCAAUCCGCAUCUU